rnacentral:lncRNA from 1 species
ACAGUAAUAAAUGGCAAAGCUGAUCAAAGCACCAAUCUACAUAAGAAAUCGCAACUAAAUGAUUGAACUGAAAAGCCGCAGCAUAAAAACAAGAACAAAGAAAAAUCAAAACAAACAGAAAGAAUUCCUUAAAUAGACAGGACAAGAGAACUUAUUGCCACAACAAACUCCGUCCAACCAAGAAAAAGAAAGCCCCAAUCAAUACUAUCUGCGCCCUCCUUGUAGAUAUAUUAGCACUAAAUUCUUCACACCUUUUCCAGACUGGUUUAAAAGAGAAGCAAACCGAUGAUGACAAGCCAACUUUGCAAGAACCCAAAGUUGUAUCAGCAGAAUCUAUAAAAUAAAUCAAAACAAGGAAUAAGGACAUGUCUGAGAGAACAGCAUAUAGCAGAGUUCUAAGCAACUUGUGAAAAGAAAGAUAGGGAAAAAAAAGAAUUUCACUCAAAUAUCCGCCCAGCAGUGGAAACACUAGAGAAUGCAAACCUGGUUCACAUAACCACCGACUUACUUUGUGUAUUGUAAUGAGCUAUUAACCUAAGAUUACCAAUUAGCGACACCUAACCAAAAAGAUUGCAAACCUGGUUGACAUAACCACCGACUUACUUUGUGUAAUGUAAUGAGCUAUUAACCUGAGAUUUACCAAUUAGCGACACCUAACCAAAAAGAUGCAACAUUUAUGCUGGUUUAAGAGAAACAAACCGAUGUCGACAAGCCAACUUUGCAAGAACCCAAAGUUGUGGCAGCAGAAUCUAUAAAAUAAAUCGAAACAAGGAAUGAGGACAUGUGUGAGAGAACAGCAUAUACAGGCUUCUAAAUAAAUCGAAAUAAUGCGAGAGAAAAAAAAGCAUUUCACUUAUUUCCGCAGAACGACCAACUUCAAAAACUCUUGCUCAAACACGAGAAACCCCAAAUCACAACCUCCAUCUGUCAACAGAUCAACUAGAAAUUUUCAAACAGCUUGCUCUUGAGUUAUCCCAAAAUACCGCAAAGAAGUGGAAAACUUGAGAUUGCAAACCUGGUUGACAUAACCACCGACUUACUUUGUGUAAUGUAAUGAGCUAUUAACAUGAGAUUACCAAUUCGUGACACCUAACCAAAAAGAUGCAACAUUUAUGCUGGUUUAAAAGACAAACAACCUAUGUCGACAAGCCAACUUUGCAAGAACCCAAAGUUGUAGCAGCAAAAUCUAUAAAAUAAAUCAAAAUCAAAACAAGGGAUAAGGACAUGUCUUGGAGAACAGCAUAUAGCAGCCUUCUAAACAACACGUGAAAUAAAGAGGGGGAAUAAAAAGCAUUUCACUUAUUUCCGCAUAACGAAGAACUUCAAAAACUCUUGCUCAAACACAAAAAGGCACAAAUUACAACCUCCACCUGUGAGCAGAUCAACUACAUAUUUUCACACAUCUUGCUCUUGAGUUAUCCCAAAAAAACUUCAAAACCUAAGUUGAGUAGAAAACAACCUUACCUGAAGCAUUCACCAACGUGGAAAAAUAAAUUCAUGAAAGAGGAAACUACACUUCACAAAACCAUGAAACAAGCAUCACCGGCAGAAGCAUAUGUUACUCAGUGCUCAAAUAUCCGCCCAGAAGUGGAAAAACUUGAGAUUGCAAACCUGGUUGACAUAUCCACCGACUUACUUUGUGUAAUGUAAUGAGCUAUUAACCUGAGAUUUCCAAUUAGUGACACAAGCCCGCAAUGUAACUUAAAUCAUUCCAAAUCUCAAAACGCCAAAUGUUGAUCACAAGAGGGCAUAGCAAAAACCUGUCUUUUAACAGUCCAAAGAUGACUUUGGGCGGAAAUAGAAGGGAUUCUGACUGGCGUAAGACCAAAGCAAAUGGCCAUUAUUGUGACACCUGUUUUCUUUCUCUGACGUAAAGUCCAAGAAUUGAAACUGAGCAUCAAAAAGACACAAUCAACAAUAACGAACGCCAACGGAGACUCGGUUGGCGAGUGCCUACUUGGUGAACAAGCAUCCAAAGGCCACAUACCGGUUAUUCCGCAUCCAGGAGUCAACUAACAUACCAAUAUAAACACCACAACUGGACGAAGGGACAGCCUAACUUCAAUCUAGAAUUCAGGAUCUCCUUGGAACGUAAUGCCAGCGAUGCAUCAAGAUUCAAAACCUAACACAAAGAUCUUCCCCAAGAGCGAUCAUCAAACUUACUGAGAGAAACUUCUAAAUUGUGACGAAGAAAACCUUCCCAUGAUAGAAAUAAUUCAAUAUUGAAAGAACCCUAAUCCGUGAUGAGGAAAAUAUUCCCUGCAACCUAUCAACAAAGUUUGUCGGGAAGAAAACCAAAAUUGUAAAAUUAUAGAUCAAGUAGCAAUGCAUCAAAACCUAACACGAAGAAGAACUUCCCUGAAAGCGAUCACCAAGGUCUUGAAAGAAAACCCUAAGAAGCAACCCUCCCCUGAUGAAAGCAUUCACUAAUCUGUGAUGAAGAAAUCAUUAACCCUAAUCUGUGACGAAGAAAAUCUACGCUGCAAGCGAUCAACAAAAUUUUUUUUUUGGAAGAAAACCCAAAGAUGUAGGAUGUAAGUAGCUAUGCAUCACCUAAAGAAGAUCCUCUCGGAACCGAUCACUUUCGUCUUCAAAACCUAAGUUGAGUAGAAAACAACCUUACCUGAAGCAUUCACCAACGUGGAAAAAUAAACCCUAUGUGUAACUAGAAAUCUUUCCUGCACCUUCAACGAAGUAUAUUAGAAGAAACUACAAAUUUGUAAUCAACGAAAAACGCUUAAAAUAACUUGCAAAAAACAAAAAAACGCUUAAAAUAAACGUAGAAAAUAAAUAGUCGGUGUCUCGGUGAGUCGGUGACCAUAAAGAUUAUAGAAAUCUUCCACUGGCAACGCAUCGAAACCCAGCGAAAAGAAGAUCCUCCCUGAAAGCGUCGCCAACGUCUUGAAAGAAACCCUAAUUUGUUAUGACAACCUUCCCUGAAGCACUCACCAACGUAUUAGAAAGAACCCCUAAUUUGUAACGAAGAAAAUCUUUCCUGCAAGCGAUCAACAACGUAUUGGAAGAAAAACCAAUUCUGUGACAAAGACGAUAGGAAGAAAUCUUCUAUUGGCUAUUGACAAUUCUGUCACAAAAGAUGCAUCAAAACCAAAAACACAAACAAAACGUUCCUGAAAGCCAUCACCAAGGUAGAGGUAUUGCAAGAAAACCCUCCCUGAAAGGCCUAUACCGGCGCAAUGAGAAGCCCUAAUUUGUAACCAAGAAAGUCUUCCUGUAAGCGAUCAACAACAUAUUUGGAGAAAAACCAAAUCUGUAAACAAAGAUGACAGAAAUCUUCAACUGGCUAUGCAUCAAAACCAAACACAAAGCAAACCUUCCCUGAAAUCGAUCACCAACGUAUGGAAAGAAAACCUAACACAAGGAAGAGGCGAGAGUUUGAAACGAUGAAAUAUUAGGGUGGGGAUGGGCUAUUUAUAGUCAAUUUCCACGUAACGACCAACUUCAAAAAUUGUUGCUCAAACACGAGAAACCCAAAUCACAACCUCCAUCUACGAAAUUUUCAAACACCUUGAGCUUGAGUUAUCCCAAAAAAUUUCAUGAAAUAGGAUGCUACACUUCACAAAACCAGGAGACAAGGAUCAGCGCCAGAAGCAUAUGUUCUUCAGUGCUCGUCGAGGCGGUGAAAAGGUCUAGUCCUAUCCAAAGUCUGUUGGCCUUAACGCAUUACAAGAAUUGAAACUGAGCAUCAAAAAGACACAAUCAACAAUAUGGUACAAUAGUAGUCGGUGUCUCGGUGAGUCGGUGACCAUAAAGAUUAUAGAAAUCUUCCACUGGCAACGCAUUAACACAUUCAAAAAUAUUUUAAGCUUUGAUAACCAGAAAAAACAUGCUGAGAACAGCUGAUAUUCAUAACAAAUUGCACAAUCACAACCUGAAAUAAACACAAUCCAAGCACCACGUGUCAAAUACCAAGCAAUUGAAAUUUCUAAACUCAUGAUAACCACGCCACCUAACCAAAAAGAUUGCAACAUUUAUG